rnacentral:rRNA from 1 species
CCGGCACGGGUGAGUAACACGUAUCCAACCUGCCGUCUACUCUUGGACAGCCUUCUGAAAGGAAGAUUAAUACAAGAUGGCAUCAUGAGUCCGCAUGUUCACAUGAUUAAAGGUAUUCCGGUAGACGAUGGGGAUGCGUUCCAUUAGAUAGUAGGCGGGGUAACGGCCCACCUAGCCUUCGAUGGAUAGGGGUUCUGAGAGGAAGGUCCCCCACAUUGGAACUGAGACACGGUCCAA